rnacentral:rRNA from 1 species
UUGAGUAAAGAGCAUACGGGGCCGGACCCGAAAGAAGGUGAACUAUGCCUGUAUAGGGUGAAGCCAGAGGAAACUCUGGUGGAGGCUCGCAGCGGUUCUGACGUGCAAAUCGAUCGUCAAAUAUGGGCAUGGGGGCGAAAGACUAAUCGAACCUUUUAGUAGCUGGUUUCCGCCGAAGUUUCCCUCAGGAUAGCAGUGAUGAGCUCAGUUUUAUGAGGUAAAGCGAAUGAUUAGGGACCCGGGGGCGGUAUAUUCCCUUCAUCCAUUUUCAAACUUUAAAUAGGUAAGAAGCCCUUGUUACUUAGUUGAACGUGGGCAUUGGAAUGUAUCAACAUUAGUGGCCCAUUUUUGGUAAGCAGAACUGGCGAUGCGGGAUGAACCGAACGCGAGGUAAAGGUGCCAGAGUAGACGUUCAUCGGCCACCACAAAAGGCGUUAGUACAUUUUGACAGCAGGACGGUGGCCAUGGAAGUCGGAAUCCGUUAAGGACUGUGUAACAAUUCACCUGCGGAAUGUACUAGCCCUGAAAAUGGAGGGCGUUCAAGCGUCUCACCCAUACCUC